AAGGGAUUAGUUAAAAAAUAACAUUAGAAUGUCAGACUAAAAUUGCUAAACAGUAGCACCCCUUU
rnacentral:tRNA from 1 species